CCAGAGAACUUAGCAGAGAUGCUUUGGUGCCUUCGGGAACUCUGAGACAGGUGCUGCAUGGCUGUCGUCAGCUCGUGUUGUGAAAUGUUGGGUUAAGUCCCGCAACGAGCGCAACCCUUAUCCUUUGUUGCCAGCGGCUCGGCCGGGAACUCAAAGGAGACUGCCGGUGAUAAACCGGAGGAAGGUGGGGAUGACGUCAAGUCAUCAUGGCCCUUACGGCCAGGGCUACACACGUGCUACAAUGGCGCAUACAAAGAGAAGCGACCUCGCGAGAGCAAGCGGACCUCAUAAAGUGCGUCGUAGUCCGGAUUGGAGUCUGCAACUCGACUCCAUGAAGUCGGAAUCGCUAGUAAUCGUAGAUCAGAAUGCUACGGUGAAUACGUUCCCGGGCCUUGUACACACCGCCCGUCACACCAUGGGAGUGGGUUGCAAAAGAAGUAGGUAGCUUAACUUUCGGGAGGGCGCUUACCACUUUGUGAUUCAUGACUGGGGUGAAGUCGUAACAAGGUAGGCGUAGCGAG
rnacentral:rRNA from 1 species